GUGCAAUGAGGUCUGAGCUGCUCUGGAGAAUGAAACAGCUGAAGUGAAACCUGAAGCAACUGGUUGAAAACUUCACCAUUAAGAGGGGCAGUGGAUCUACGUUACCACCCAUGUGCAUCAUUCCUUGUGAAUUGCGUGCACAUGCAAGGGGGUGAAGGCGAGUGCAGGACGCAGGAUCUGGCCAGGGAGCAGAUGCUGCUUGUGCAUUUGAUGGAGCUACAAACUUCCCUGGAAGACAGAGUACAAACUUUACUCAGAGAAUAAAGCGUAACCCUAAUCUCUCCUAUAUACAACGCCGAGGCCAUCCACUCCAGUUAGUGCUAGUGUGAGCUGCAGAAUCUUCAAAAGACAUUAAAAAGCCAUAAAUGUAAUGGCUUUUUUAUACGCUUUUUUCAGCAAGAGUCCAAAAGGACUGAAUGUCUUGGAAACAAAUAGAAAAUACUCUUGGACUGAAGUUCAAGUUCGUCCAACCUUGGAAAAACCUCUGGCUUUCUCAUGAGCAAUUCUUGGCUGUUGUCUUAAAAUUACUGCAAUCAUUAUUACUGGCUUUGGAAGGUAUGCACCAAGAUAGGACAGAUCUAAGUAGUGAGGCUGGUCGAUUACUAAGUUCAGAGAAGACAAUUGCCAUUCUCUCUCUUGUAAA